rnacentral:rRNA from 1 species
GACGAACGCUGGCGGCGUGCCUAACACAUGCAAGUCGAACGAAGUGGCGAACGGGUGAGUAACGCGUAAUAAACCUGCCCUUCAGAGGGGGACAACAGGUGGAAACGACUGAUAAUACCGCAUACUGAAGGAGGGGAUUGCGUCUGAUUAGCUAGUUGGAGGGGUAACGGCCCAACAAGGCGGGGAUUAGUCGCCUGUCUUAGAGGAUGAACGGCCACAUUGGGACUGGGACACGGCCCAGACUCCUACGGGAGGCAGCAGUGGGGAAUCUUCCGCAAUGGACGAAAGUCUGACGGAGCAACGCCGCGUGAGUGAUGACGGCCUUCGGGUUGUAAAGCUCUGUUAAUCGGGACGCGGUACCGGAAUAGAAAGCCACGGCUAACUACGUGCCAGCAGCCGCGGUAAUAC